CGCGUAGGCGGCUGGAUAAGUCAGGUGUGAAAGUCCAUGGCUCAACUGUGGAAGUGCAUUUGAAACUGUCCGGCUUGAGUAUCGGAGGGGAGUGUGGAAUUCCCGGUGUAGAGGUGAAAUUCGUAGAGAUCGGGAGGAACACCGGUGGCGAAGGCGACACUCUGGACGAAUACUGACGCUGAGGCGCGAAAGCGUGGGGAGCAAACA
rnacentral:rRNA from 1 species